rnacentral:rRNA from 1 species
AUGAACGCUAGCGACAGGCUUAACACAUGCAAGUCGAGGGGCAGCACAGGUAGCAAUACCGGGUGGCGACCGGCGCACGGGUGAGUAACGCGUAUGCAACUUGCCUAUCAGAGGGGGAUAACCCGGCGAAAGUCGGACUAAUACCGCAUGAAGCAGGGGCCCCGCAUGGGGAUAUUUGCUAAAGAUUCAUCGCUGAUAGAUAGGCAUGCGUUCCAUUAGGCAGUUGGCGGGGUAACGGCCCACCAAACCGACGAUGGAUAGGGGUUCUGAGAGGAAGGUCCCCCACAUUGGUACUGAGACACGGACCAAACUCCUACGGGAGGCAGCAGUGAGGAAUAUUGGUCAAUGGGCGUAAGCCUGAACCAGCCAAGUCGCGUGAGGGAUGAAGGUUCUAUGGAUCGUAAACCUCUUUUAUAAGGGAAUAAAGUGCGGGACGUGUCCCGUUUUGUAUGUACCUUAUGAAUAAGGAUCGGCUAACUCCGUGCCAGCAGCCGCGGUAAUACGGAGGAUCCGAGCGUUAUCCGGAUUUAUUGGGUUUAAAGGGUGCGUAGGCGGCCUUUUAAGUCAGCGGUGAAAGUCUGUGGCUCAACCAUAGAAUUGCCGUUGAAACUGGGGGGCUUGAGUAUGUUUGAGGCAGGCGGAAUGCGUGGUGUAGCGGUGAAAUGCAUAGAUAUCACGCAGAACCCCGAUUGCGAAGGCAGCCUGCCAAGCCAUUACUGACGCUGAUGCACGAAAGCGUGGGGAUCAAACAGGAUUAGAUACCCUGGUAGUCCACGCAGUAAACGAUGAUCACUAGCUGUUUGCGAUACACUGUAAGCGGCACAGCGAAAGCGUUAAGUGAUCCACCUGGUGAGUACGCCGGCAACGGUGAAACUCAAAGGAAUUGACGGGGGCCCGCACAAGCGGAGGAACAUGUGGUUUAAUUCGAUGAUACGCGAGGAACCUUACCCGGGUUUGAACGCAUUCGGACCGAGGUGGAAACACCUUUUCUAGCAAUAGCCGUUUGCGAGGUGCUGCAUGGUUGUCGUCAGCUCGUGCCGUGAGGUGUCGGCUUAAGUGCCAUAACGAGCGCAACCCUUGCCACUAGUUACUAACAGGUGAUGCUGAGGACUCUGGUGGGACUGCCAGCGUAAGCUGCGAGGAAGGCGGGGAUGACGUCAAAUCAGCACGGCCCUUACAUCCGGGGCGACACACGUGUUACAAUGGCGUGGACAAAGGGAGGCCACCUGGCGACAGGGAGCGAAUCCCCAAACCACGUCUCAGUUCGGAUCGGAGUCUGCAACCCGACUCCGUGAAGCUGGAUUCGCUAGUAAUCGCGCAUCAGCCAUGGCGCGGUGAAUACGUUCCCGGGCCUUGUACACACCGCCCGUCAAGCCAUGGGAGCCGGGGGUACCUGAAGUCCGUAACCGAAAGGAUCGGCCUAGGGUAAAACUGGUGACUGGGGCU